rnacentral:lncRNA from 1 species
CCUGGGGAGAGCUGGCCUCAGACUGGCUGUCGCAGCUGGAUGUGGAGAGGUCAUUGCAAGACGUGCCACUCUCCCCUUCUUUGUCACCUUUGCCAUUCUUGCAGCAGCAAUCGCAGUGUGAGGGUGACCAUCUGGAAGGCUCACCUGAAAAGAAAGCACAGGACCCAAAGGAUUAUUGCCAGCCAGGUCAGUUGGAGUAGCAGUAUAGCACUUGGACAUACACACAAACACACAUAAGAGAAGCACCAUGGAACCAUGCUUUUAGAAAAAGUGGGGUGGUACCCAGGGUGGGCUGCAACAGGAGCCAAAAGCCAAGUCCAUGAGGGGAGGAAAUUAAUGAUGGCAUGCUAUAUAAGAGGAAAUAUAGUAUAAUGCUUGAGCCCAUGAGCACGGGAGUCAGAAAUACCCAGCUAACAUCAUUUAUUAAGCUUGUCACCUCGGCACAUUCCUUAGAUUUUCAGAGUCACUUUCCUCAUCUGUGGUUUAAGGGUAAUAAUUUUCCUACUAUCUGGAGUUACAGGAAGGAGUUAGAUAAGUCAAAAUUCUUAAUGCAGUAUCUCUCUCACAGUAAACUCUCAAUAAAAGCUAGCCGAUUUCCCAUAGCUGAUGAAAAGCUCCAAGUGACAGCAGUCAGGUACAACAGGAGGACGCUAUCAAAACAGAAUGACAGUAACCGGAGAAGGGGGACUGACUCUGUGCCUGUCCCUAUCUGGGUAUCCCUCAGCUCCUUGGUCCUUAACGAAAACUCUGUUAACUCAGUAGUUUCAAUUUCAGUCUCCAUACAAGGAAACUAAGACCCCAAGAGUUUAAGAAACUUGCCAGAGUUUGUACAAUUUGAAAGUGGCAGAGCUGAGAUUUGAAUACAGACCUUCCAAGGGCCAUAACCAUACCAAUUAACCAUUUUAUUCAGUGUCCUUGUUAGUAAAAUCUUUGCUUCUACUUCAAAACAAUUUGCAGGUUAUAACUUCUCUGAAUUUCUUGUUAACCUCUCCUCAGACGUAUUUGCUUUUUUCUCCUCUCUGAAUUAUAGUUCUACUUUGUAAGUUCCUCUAUUAUAGCACAUAUUACAUUUUGUUAUAUAUCAUAUUAGCUACUAGGCCAUGAGCUCCUUAAUAUGAGCAUAGUGAAGUAUCCAUUGUUGUAAUAGAGCAAAUACGCCAAGGAACAAUGUAGAAAUUCAAUAAAAGGCCAUAUUAUAACUUUUAAGUAUCUGGAUCUAGCCACACCUGAAGCUAGUCUUGCCAGUGAGCUUUUCAUUUAUAUGAUAAACUAUAUUCUGUGUCAUUUUUUCAGCCAAUGUGAGUCCCUCUUCUCCCAUUCCUCUGCGUCUUGACUCAUAAUACUGCAUUUAGCAAUUUGAAGGCAGAGCAAUGUUGCAGAUGCACAGUGGCUCCAUGAACCAGAAAAAAAAAAAAAAAAAA